rnacentral:rRNA from 1 species
CUAGCGGCGUGCUUAACACAUGCAAGUCGAGCGGUAAGGCCCUUCGGGGUACACGAGCGGCGAACGGGUGAGUAACACGUGGGUGAUCUGCCUUGCACUUCGGGAUAAGCCUGGGAAACUGGGUCUAAUACCGGAUAUGACCUUGGAAUGCAUGUUUUGGGGUGGAAAGAUUUAUCGGUGCGAGAUGGGCCCGCGGCCUAUCAGCUUGUUGGUGAGGUAACGGCUCACCAAGGCGACGACGGGUAGCCGACCUGAGAGGGUGACCGGCCACACUGGGACUGAGACACGGCCCAGACUCCUACGGGAGGCAGCAGUGGGGAAUAUUGCACAAUGGGCGCAAGCCUGAUGCAGCGACGCCGCGUGCGGGAUGACGGCCUUCGGGUUGUAAACCGCUUUUGACAGGGACGAAGCGCAAGUGACUGUACCUGUAGAAUAAGGACCGGCCAACUACGUGCCAGCAGCCGCGGUAAUACGUAGGGUCCGAGCGUUGUCCGGAAUUACUGGGCGUAAAGAGCUUGUAGGCGGUUCGUCGCGUCGUUUGUGAAAACUUGGGGCUCAACCUUAAGCUUGCAGGCGAUACGGGCGGACUAGAGUACUUCAGGGGAGACUGGAAUUCCUGGUGUAGCGGUGAAAUGCGCAGAUAUCAGGAGGAACACCGGUGGCGAAGGCGGGUCUCUGGGAAGUAACUGACGCUGAGAAGCGAAAGCAUGGGUAGCAAACAGGAUUAGAUACCCUGGUAGUCCAUGCCGUAAACGGUGGGUACUAGGUGUGGGGCUCCUUCCACGGACUCCGUGCCGUAGCUAACGCAUUAAGUACCCCGCCUGGGGAGUACGGCCGCAAGGCUAAAACUCAAAGAAAUUGACGGGGGCCCGCACAAGCGGCGGAGCAUGUGGAUUAAUUCGAUGCAACGCGAAGAACCUUACCUGGGUUUGACAUACACCGGAAACCUGCAGAGAGUGUAGGCCC